CCUACGGGAGGCAGCAGUGAGGAAUAUUGGUCAAUGGCCGUAAGGCUGAACCAGCCAAGUCGCGUGAAGGAAGAAGGAUCUAUGGUUUGUAAACUUCUUUUAUAGGGGAAUAAAGGUAUCCACGUGUGGAUAUUUGCAUGUACCCUAUGAAUAAGCAUCGGCUAACUCCGUGCCAGCAGCCGCGGUAAUACGGAGGAUUCGAGCGUGAUCCGGAUUUAUUGGGUUUAAAGGGUGCGUAGGUUGUUUUUUAAGUCAGCGGUGAAAGUUUGUGGCUCAACCAUAAAAUUGCCGUUGAAACUGGAAGACUUGAGUGUGUUUGAGGUAGGCGGAAUGCGUGGUGUAGCGGUGAAAGGCAUAGAUAUCACGCAGAACUCCGAUUGCGAAGGCAGCUUACUAAGCCAUAACUGACACUGAAGCACGAAAGCGUGGGUAUCAAACAGGAUUAGAUACCCUAGUAGUC
rnacentral:rRNA from 1 species